CCAGGGGAUCACCAUGGGCACAGUACUCACCAGAGGAUCAGUGAGCACGGGGAUGAAGGCUCCCCACAGCAUUUGAAUGCUGCCAAAAUAAUUUCAGUAGAAUUUAGCCUCUGUGAAAAUUGUUCAGGAAUAAGAGAAUAUUAUUUACAAAACUUAUGUCAAAUCCUUUAGACUUUGCCUGCCCCAGCUGCUGUGUUUAGAUUAGGCUUGGAAACAAGGUGUGGUAAAAAGGAUCUAAAUAUCACUAUUAUGUGAAUAAAUACUGAGAAUUGUAAAGAACUGAGUAAGAUGCAAAGACUGGAGGGUGCCAAAACAACUAAUGACACUUUAUUGAAAGGAAUGUCUCAUAGAAAGUCCAAGGGACGACUUCUACAAACAGUGGCCCGUAGCCAGUCCCUGUGACUCAGCCGUGCCAGGCCACGGGCCACCAAGGGCCAGCAGCGGCCACAUCUCCCGCAGGAGCCAUCAGUCGGUGCCGCUCCGCAGCACGGGAAACGGGGAGCGGGGCUGGCCCGGCUCCGGAGCGGGGCGAGCUGCGGGCACCCUGAGCCCGGCUCCCCGCGUCCCGGGACACGGCCCGGAACGGGCGGGGGCACCGGGCAGGGCACCGGAACGGCGGCACCGGGGUGGGGCACCCGCACUGCCCGUCCUGCCCCGGCACCACGGCAGCGCUGGCUGCGGGACCCCCGGGCAGGGAGGGGACCCGCGGUGAUCCCGGUUCCGAUGCCGGUUCCGGGCCGGGAGGGCACGCGCGGUGAUCCCGAUCCCGGUUCCGAUCCCGAUCCCGGUUCCGAUCCCGGUUCCGGGCCGGGAGGGCACGCGCGGUGAUCCCGAUCCCGGUCCGAUCCCGAUCCCGGUUCCGAGCCAGGGCGGUUCUGAUCCCGAUCCCGAUCCCGAUCCCGGUUCCGAGCCAGGGCGGUUCUGAUCCCGAUCCCGAUCCCGGUCCCGAUCCCGGUCCCGAUCCCAAUCCCGGUUCCGAUCCCGAUCCCGGUUCCGAUCCCGGUUCCGAUGCCGGUUCCGAUGCCGGUUCCGGGCCGGGAGGGCACGCGCGGUGAUCCCGAGCGCGGCGCGGCCCCGCGGAGGGCGGGGUCACACAUGCAGG
rnacentral:lncRNA from 1 species